rnacentral:tRNA from 1 species
GCCCCUGUGGCGGAACUGGUAGACGCGCUGGAUUCAAAAUCCAGUUCCCGCAAGGGAGUGGGAGUUCGAUUCUCCCCGGGGGCACCA